AAGUCGUAACAAGGUUUCCGUAGGUGAACCUGCGGAAGGAUCAUCAUCAAUUAAUUUUCCAAAACCUGGGUAUCUCUCCGCAAGGGGAGGUACUCUAAACCAAACGUGAACUGUUUUUGCCUCUGGUUGACAUUUUGAUGUAAAAAAAGUAUUGUUCUUCGGAACUUUGCUUUUUUUGGUCAAUCAGAGUGUAUACUUAUACAUCAAAACACAUUAACCAAUUGAACCGUUUUAAUUAUAUAUUGAAUUGUUUGAACUGAAUUUGUUUCUUACCUGACUUCAAAACUCAGGAAGAAAACAUAAUUUACGAAACAAUAUAAAUAUAACUCUUAGCAACGGAUAUCUUGGUUCUC
rnacentral:misc_RNA from 1 species